AUUGAACGCUGGCGGCAUGCCUUACACAUGCAAGUCGAACGGUAACAGGUCUUCGGAUGCUGACGAGUGGCGAACGGGUGAGUAAUACAUCGGAACGUGCCCGAUCGUGGGGGAUAACGGAGCGAAAGCUUUGCUAAUACCGCAUAAGAUCUAAGGAUGAAAGCAGGGGACCGCAAGGCCUUGCGCGAACGGAGCGGCCGAUGGCAGAUUAGGUAGUUGGUGGGAUAAAAGCUUACCAAGCCGACGAUCUGUAGCUGGUCUGAGAGGACGACCAGCCACGCUGGGACGGAGACACGGCCCAGACUCCUACGGGAGGCAGCAGUGGGGAAUUUUGGACAAUGGGCGCGAGCCUGAUCCAGCCAUGCCGAGUGCAGGAUGAAGGCCUUCGGGUUGUAAACUGCUUUUGUACGGAACGAAAAGACUCUUUCUAAUAAAGAGAGUCCAUGACGGUACCGUAAGAAUAAGCACCGGCUAACUACGUGCCAGCAGCCGCCGUAACAC
rnacentral:rRNA from 1 species